rnacentral:rRNA from 1 species
AGCGAUUAGCUAAUUAGUGUUCUAGUACCACAAAAAAAAUGAAACAGUCUCGAUAUUAAUCGAAUAAAAUUCUGGGUAAACUUAUGAUAAUGACAUUGUUUACUCAUUAGUCUUGACCAAGUUACGUGCCAGCAGUCGCGGUAAUACGUAGAAGACUAGUGUUAUUCAUCUUUAAUGGGUUUAAAGGGUACCUAGACGGCAAAUUAAGCCUUAAAUUGAUAAAUCUUAAUUUAAGAUUUAACUGGAACUGAUUUGCUAGAGUUACUUAUGAGGAAGUUUUAAAGUACUAGAGGUGUAGAGAUAAAAUUUUAUUAUACCUUUUUUCUAACGAAAAACUUCGGCACAGGUAUAGGUGAAAACAUCUUCUUAUGGGAUAACUGACGUUGAGGGACGAAGGCUUUUUAUAAUGAACAGGAUUAGAUACCCUGGUAGUCAAAGCAGAAAACGCUGAGUGUCAUAGAUUAGAUAAGAAUUUAUUCUAUAAAUGAAAGUGUAAGCACUCCACCUCAAGAGUAAUUUGGCAACAUUGGAACUGAAAUCAUUAGACCGUAUCUGAAACCAGUAGUGAAGUAUGUUAUUUAAUUUGAUAAUCCGCAAAAAACCUUACCACAACUUGAAUGUUUAUGUACUUACUUUUAAAAUAUGUUUAUGUGCAGUUUUGUGUAUAACCCAGCCUGCAUUUCACGCAAUAUUGUGAAAAGGUAAUAAUAUAUAAAUACAAGUGUUGCACGGCUGUCUUCAGUUAAUGUCGUCAGACUAUGGUUAGCUCCAGUAAAUUAACGUAAACCCUUGCUUUAUUUUUAAAUAGAGUAGUUCUCCGCCAUAUUGGAUAAGAUAACAGGGAACAAGACAAGUCAUCAUGGCCUUAAUGUUGUG